UCCUCUGUAGCUCAGUGGUUAUAGCACUGGUCUAGUAAACCAGGGGUUCGAGAGUUCAAGUUUCCUCCGAAGCU
rnacentral:tRNA from 1 species